ensembl:lncRNA
CCUCCCCACCACCUGUUCAGGAUGCUCCUGUUGGCAGCCAAUGAAGCAGUGUUCAUUUUGGCAGCUAUUUUUGAUUUAGUCUUUAUACGAAAAAUGCAUAUUGUAUUACAUUUGGUCAUUUUAAUCCUUCUUAGUUUUAGUCCCAUUUAACAUCCACAUUAAACUCAUUUUCUUCCCUUCUCAGGCCCAGAGACCCCUGUGGUGUGUCUACAGCUGCAUAAUAGUCCAGCUUGCAGUACUUGGUUGUCCAUCAGAUGUCCCUCCUAGGACAGGCCUAUAGAUGUCCCUCCUAGGACAGGUCUAUAGAUGUCCCUCCUAGGACAGGCCUAUAGAUGUCCCUCCUAGGACAGGCCUAUAGAUGUCCCUCCUAGGACAGGCCUAUAGAUGUCCCUCCUAUGACAGGUCUAUAGAUGUCCCUCCUAGGACAGGCCUAUAGAUGUCCCUCCUAGGACAGGCCUAUAGAUGUCCCUCCUAUGACAGGCCUAUAGAUGUCCCUCCUAGGACAGGCCUAUAGAUGUCCCUCCUAGGACAGGCCUAUAGAUGUCCCUCCUAUGACAGGUCUAUAGAUGUCCCUCCUAGGACAGGCCUAUAGAUGUCCCUCCUAUGACAGGUCUAUAGAUGUCCCUCCUAGGACAGGUCUAUAGCAGGUCGGCAGACUUUUUGACUCGCGGCCACAAUGGAACAAGUGGUUGAAGUGUUUGUGUGAGCUGAUAUAAAUGACAUGUGAAUCAUCACAUGAAAGGAUUUGGAUUUUAACAAAUAGCAAAGCAUUU